GAGAGAGAGAGAGAGAGAUAAAAGAUGAUCAUUUAUGUCCUAGGCAGUACCAGCCCAUCUAAGAACACAGAUAACGUAGCAUAGGCAAUAGCAUUUGGUAGAAAAAGAAUCGCAAGAAAAGAAUUUUGAAUGUCAGGUCACAUCAAGAUCUGAAUCUUCAACAACCCAUUUGUUAGGAUCCCACAUCAUUAAGACGCCCUCCUUUGCAAGUCGAUUUUCAGGUUUGAGUUUUAUCAAUUUAUAUCAGAGUAUAAUCUUGCAAGACCUUACGGGGAGUGGUCUCUCUCUUAUUGAUCCUUUCUUGUUCAUAAGCUAAAAUCUAAGAUAAGCUCUCCAAACCCAAUUCAGUUUCAUUUCUAGCCAUGCCUUCUUCUCCCAAAUUCCUUCACUCUCGCUUAUCCUCGCCGUCCUUUGCUUCCCGCAGAUCCCUCUUCGUCAUGCUCUCCUGCCUCUUCAUUGGCAUCUCCGGUUUCAUCUUCGGACUCACCGCCCCUUCUGGUUACCUUUGCUCCCACUCCAUAACUGAGCUCCGAUCGGUUCGGGUACUCUGGGACACCAAUUCUAAUGCUUAUACCAAUAACGAUGGCUCUGGUUUCAAUUCUGAGAAGAAGAAGAGGCACAAGGUUAUGGGGUUUGUCGGGAUUCAAACUGGAUUCGCCUCUGAUGGUAGAAGGCGCUCCUUGAGGAAGACCUGGAUGCCGUCCGAUCGCCAGGGCCUUCAACGGUUGGAGGAAUCUACUGGUUUGGCGUUCAGGUUUGUUAUUGGUAGAACUAAUGAUAAAUCAAAGAUGGUAAAACUCAAGAAGGAAGUUGCAGAAUAUGAUGAUUUCUUGCUUUUGGACAUUGAGGAACAGUAUAGUAAGCUCCCCUAUAAAACUUUAGCUUUCUUUAAAGCUGCCUAUGCGCUUUUUGAUUCCGAGUUUUAUGUUAAAGCAGACGAUGACAUAUACCUGAGGCCAGAUCGUCUCUCUAUACUCUUGGCAAAAGAGCGUACUCACUCUCAAACUUACCUUGGAUGCAUGAAGAAAGGGCCUGUUUUUACUGAUCCAAAGCUCAAAUGGUAUGAACCACUCUCCUAUUUGCUUGGGAAGGAGUACUUUCUCCAUGCUUAUGGUCCAAUAUAUGCUCUUUCAGCUGAUGUUGUUGCAAGUUUAGUUGCUCUUAGAAAUGACAGUUUUCGGAUGUUCAGCAAUGAGGAUGUUACAAUUGGUGCAUGGAUGCUUGCUAUGAAUGUUAAUCAUGAGGAUAAUCGAGCACUAUGUGAACCUGAGUGUACACCAUCAUCUAUUGCUGUGUGGGAUAUUCCUAAGUGUUCAGGACUUUGUGAUCCAGAAGCCAAAUUACUAGAGCUCCAUCAGAAGGAUAGCUGCUCAAAUAGCCCAACCAUGGAAUCUGAUGAUUAGUGUUUCUUUUUUUUUUUCCCUUUUUUGACAUUUUUCUUACAAUUGUGAUGGAUAGAAGAAACAUUUAGAAGAAACAUUUAGUCCAUUCAAUUUUUCCUCUUCUACACAUUUACAUUUUUAUUCUUUCUUGUAAUCAUUUUUCCAAUGUAGAUAAGAAAAAACAGAAUUUUCCAAACCACCUUAAUUUUAUAGUGGAUUUUUAGAAUUUGUAAGAGAAUUGAUGAGAGUGAUUAUACAUGUAAACUUACAACCCUUGUCAAAUAUACGCUACAUAAAAUUUUGGCUUCUAGUUGUG
rnacentral:misc_RNA from 1 species